rnacentral:rRNA from 1 species
GACAGAGGGUGCAAACGUUGUUCGGAAUUACUGGGCGUAAAGCGUGUGUAGGCGGUUCGGCAAGUCGGAUGUGAAAGCCCCGGGCUCAACCCGGGAAGUGCACUCGAUACUGCCGAACUUGAGUCUCGGAGAGGUUGGUAGAAUUCUCGGUGUAGAGGUGAAAUUCGUAGAUAUCGAGAGGAAUACCGGCGGCGAAGGCGGCCAACUGGACGAAGACUGACGCUGAGACACGAAAGCGUGGGGAGCAAACAGG